UACGUAGGGUGCAAGCGUUGUCCGGAAUUAUUGGGCGUAAAGAGCUCGUAGGCGGUCUGUCGCGUCUGCUGUGAAAACUCAGGGCUUAACCCUGAGCUUGCAGUGGGUACGGGCAGACUAGAGUGCGGUAGGGGAGACUGGAAUUCCUGGUGUAGCGGUGAAAUGCGCAGAUAUCAGGAGGAACACCGGUGGCGAAGGCGGGUCUCUGGGCCGUAACUGACGCUGAGGCGCGAAAGCCAGGGGAGCGAACGGG
rnacentral:rRNA from 1 species